UGAGUAACGAAAGAGGAGUGAGAAUCUCCUCCACUGAUUGUCCAAGGUUUCCUGAGUAAAGUUCGUCUGCUCAGGGUUAGUCGGGACCUAAGGCGAGGCCGAAAGGCGUAGUCGAUGGGAAUGCAGUGAAUAUUCUGCAGCCAGUGGGUGGUGACGAAUCCCGUGUGUUGUUCGACCUUAUUGGAUUGGUCGGGCCUCGAAGGGGUUCCAGGAAAUAGCCCCCACAUUAGACCGUACCCGAAACCGACACAGGUGGACUGGUA
rnacentral:rRNA from 1 species